GAUGAACGCUGGCGGCGUGCCUAAUACAUGCAAGUCGAGCGAACAGACGAGUAGCUUGCUCCUUUGACGUUAGCGGCGGACGUGUGAGUAACACGUGGGUAACCUACCUAUAAGACUGGGAUAACUUCGGGAAACCGGAGCUAAUACCGGCUAAUAUUUCGAACCGCAUGGUUCGAUAGUGAAAGAUGGCUUUGCUAUCACUUAUAGAUGGACCUGCGCCGUAUUAGCUUGUUGGUAAGGUAACGGCUUACCAAGGCAACGAUACGUAGCCGACCUGAGAGGGUGAUCGGCCACACUGGAACUGAGACACGGUCCAGACUCCUACGGGAGGCAGCAGUAGGGAAUCUUCCGCAAUGGGCGAAAGCCUGACGGAGCAACGCCGCGUGAGUGAUGAAGGUCUUCGGAUCGUAAAACUCUGUUAUUAGGGAAGAACAAACGUGUAAGUAACUGUACACGUCUUGACGGUACCUAAUCAGAAAGCCACGGCUAACUACGUG
rnacentral:rRNA from 1 species